GUUUUUCUCCCUGGAGACAGAGAGAGCCUGUCUCUAGUGCUGCAGAAAUGAUCUCUAACUGCCUUCUGUUGGGCGGGACUUGUCUUGGGGUCCUACCGUGUGACUCCACACACCUGGAGGUAAUGAGCUCACCAGUUCCAGAUCACCUAAUCUGCUGCCACUACUUAAGGCGAUGGUUUGUCUUCAGUCUUUCCUGUACCGCUGAACUAACAACAGCAACUGAAGCUGAUUGCCUGGAGAUCAGAGAGCUGAGACUUUUAUUCGGUGUGAGAGACUCUGAAGAGAAGAGGAACUGUGGAAUUGCCUGUCUGUUUGGAACCUAGACUUCACUGGCUGACACCUUUCCCUUUUUACCCUUGGUGUUUUCAAUAAACCUGUUAAACUUUUCCUCUCAAGUCCAGCCUUUGAGUCCAGUCCGCCUGAGUGGCCAUGACAUACUGUUUGUAAAAUGUUCAGAAGUAAAUUGGUGGAGUGAAUUAUAAAA